rnacentral:misc_RNA from 1 species
GAUGAAGAACGUAGCGAAAUGCGAUACGUAAUGUGAAUUGCAGAAUUCAGUGAAUCAUCGAAUCUUUGAACGCAUAUUGCGCCCUCUGGUAUUCCGGAGAGCAUGCUUGUUUGAGUAUCAGUAAACACCUCAACUUCCAUAUCUUUUUUGAAAUGGGAGUUGGACUUGAGUGAUCCCAACGCUUUUCCUCACCGAAAAGUGGCGGGUUACUUGAAAUGCAGGUGCAGCUGGACUUUUCUCUGAGCUAUAAGCAUAUCUAUUUAGUCUGCCUAAAAAACAGAUUAUUACCUUUGCUGCAGCUAACAUAAAGGAGAUUAGUUCUUGUGCUGACUGAUGCAGGAUUCACAAAGACAGGCUUCGGCCGACUUUGUAAACUCGAUCUCAAAUCAAGUAAGACUACCCGCUGAACUUAAGCAUAUCAAUAAGCGGAGGA